rnacentral:rRNA from 1 species
UACGGGGGGGACAAGCGUUGUCCGGAAUCAUUGGGCGUAAAGAGCGUGUAGGCGGCUUGGUAAGUCCGCUGUGAAAGUCCAGGGCUCAACCCUGGAAUGCCGGUGGAAACUGUCAAGCUUGAGUCCGGAAGAGGCGAGUGGAAUUCCUGGUGGUAGCGGUGAAAAUGCGCAGAUAUCAGGAGGAACACCAAUGGCGAAGGCAGCUCGCUGGGACGGUACUGACGCUGAGACGCGAAAGCGUGGGGAGCAAACAGG